rnacentral:rRNA from 1 species
UACGGAGGGUGCAAGCGUUAAUCGGAAUUACUGGGCGUAAAGCGCGCGUAGGCGGUUUGAUAAGUCGAUUGUGAAAUCCCCGGGCUCAACCUGGGAAUUGCAGUCGAGACUGUCAGACUAGAGUGUGGGAGAGGGUGGUGGAAUUCCCGGUGUAGCGGUGAAAUGCGUAGAUAUCGAGAGGAACACCUGCGGCGAAGGCGGGUUGCUGGGCUGACACUGACGCUGAUGCGCGAAAGCUAGGGGAGCGAACGGG